CCCGAAGUAUCCUGAAUCUUUCGCAUUGUUAAUCAUACAAGUGCAUAUAAUAAACAUAAAAAUCAAUGAUAAUUAUGCCAUUAUAUAAUUCCGAAAAAUUAACGCACUGUAGUCAUAUAAAUCUAUCAACACUUUAUCAAAGUUAUAACAUUUAUUUUAUGUUAAUGCGCGAACACAAUAAUUAAAAUAAACUUCANGUCAUAAUUUUUUGAUAAAUAGAAUAUGCUAAUAAAUUACAAUGUCCUUAUAUGGAAAAAAUGCACACUAUUUCUAUAAUAUUGAUNAAAUAUUAUAUAACUAAUGAUGAAUUUUCCAUAAUGGAUAUUCAGGUUCAUCGGGC
rnacentral:rRNA from 1 species